AUUGAACGCUGGCGGCAGGCUUAACACAUGCAAGUCGAGCGGGGGAGGUUGCUUCGGUAACUGACCUAGCGGCGGACGGGUGAGUAAUGCUUAGGAAUCUGCCUAUUAGUGGGGGACAACAUUCCGAAAGGGAUGCUAAUACCGCAUACGCCCUACGGGGGAAAGCAGGGGAUCUUCGGACCUUGCGCUAAUAGAUGAGCCUAAGUCUGAUUAGCUAGUUGGUGGGGUAAAGGCCUACCAAGGCGACGAUCUGUAGCGGGUCUGAGAGGAUGAGCCGCCACACUGGGACUGAGACACGGACCAGACUCCUACGGGAGGGAGCAGUGGGGAAUAUUGGACAAUGGGCGGAAGCCUGAUCCAGCCAUGCGGCGUGUGUGAAGAAGGCCUUUUGGUUGUAAAGCACAUUAAGCGAGGAGGAGGCUACUAGUACUAAUACUACUGGAUAGUGGACGUUACUCGCAGAAUAAGCACCGGCUAACUCUGUGCCAGCAGCCGCAGUAAAAC
rnacentral:rRNA from 1 species